rnacentral:rRNA from 1 species
GACGAACGCUGGCGGCGCGCCUAACACAUGCAAGUCGAACGAGCGAGAGAGAGCUUGCUUUCUCGAGCGAGUGGCGAACGGGUGAGUAACGCGUGAGGAACCUGCCUCAAAGAGGGGGACAACAGUUGGAAACGACUGCUAAUACCGCAUAAGCCCACGGGUCGGCAUCGACCAGAGGGAAAAGGAGCAAUCCGCUUUGAGAUGGCCUCGCGUCCGAUUAGCUAGUUGGUGAGGUAAUGGCCCACCAAGGCGACGAUCGGUAGCCGGACUGAGAGGUUGAACGGCCACAUUGGGACUGAGACACGGCCCAGACUCCUACGGGAGGCAGCAGUGGGGAAUAUUGCACAAUGGGGGAAACCUUGAUGCAGCGACGCCGCGUGGAGGAAGAAGGUCUUCGGAUUGUAAACUCCUGUUGUUGGGGAAGAUAAUGACGGUACCCAACAAGGAAGUGACGGCUAACUACGUG